UACAGAGGUCUCAAGCGUUGUUCGGAUUCAUUGGGCGUAAAGGGUGCGUAGGUGGCGCGCUCAGUCGGGUGUGAAAUUUCGGAGCUUAACUCCGAAACUGCAUUCGAUACUGGCGUGCUUGAGGACUGGAGAGGAGACUGGAAUUCAUGGUGUAGCAGUGAAAUGCGUAGAGAUCAUGAGGAAGACCAGUGGCGAAGGCGGGUCUCUGGACAGUUCCUGACACUGAGGCACGAAGGCCAGGGGAGCAAACGGGG
rnacentral:rRNA from 1 species